rnacentral:lncRNA from 9 species
CCGAGGGCUUUGGGCGUGUGGCGCGGGCUCUUGAACAUGAAGACUUCCGGGGCUGCGGUGGUGGGGAAGUCGACCGGCUGCCUCGUAGCGGAAAAGUGAGCGAGGCAGAACAGUUUACGGUCUUCACGGGUAGCUUUUUCGAGGGUAGGGUCCGUUCUCAUGCUUGGCGAAGCCCGGGAGGUGGAGCCUGAUCGCAGCCAGGCCCUUGCAGCCUGCGGCGGUCCGUGAACGCCGGCCUCUCCCUCAUCUUCCAGUAAGCUUAGGUCUGAGGUGGAGGGCGAGGCAUGGUAUGUUUGACAAGCUGGAGAAAUAAGGGGACUCAGACUUCGCAAAGCAGUUACCAACCUGUUGGAGUAAAUGCUCAACGUUCAGCUUAAAUGUAACUCAAGUUUUUAAAGCUUGGCGUAGUCUUUCACGGUUGAAAGACUAGCAGUUUUUUCUCUUGAAAGUUACCCAUUCGUAUUGAUUAAUAUUUCCUAACCUGUACCCGGAGCCAGGACCCAUGCUCACAGCCAUCGCAAAGUCGCAAAGGGGGAAGAAGGUGAAAACCAACAUGCUUAAGAUUUGCGACCAGAAUGGCAUUCCCUAAACUGUGUUCUCUGAAACAUCAGGCCUCUGCAAAAUGUUAAUAGCUGCUUCGUGGAAAAAAUUUACAGCAUCAAUACUGAGGAAAACACAAAUUAUUGGAAGUACACCGGUAUAGCAUUCUUGCCAAAAUGUUUGGCCUGAAUCUGUGAAGAAACACUCAGAUAAAUUCAGGAUGUGAUUUUCAUGGACUUUUCAGGAAUGUCAGUAUCAUGAAAGGCAAACAACAAAAGACAGAAGGACUGAUCAUCAUUAAUGGUUUGAAAUAUUCAGGAUUAAGAAGUUGGGGAAAAGCAUACUCCCCUAUUGUUCGUCUUUGGGGGGCCAGGCACCCGAUGAGCGGCCUGUGUGCACUGGUAACCAGCUCUGGAAAUUGUCAUUAUAGCCUUUUGAAGCAUCAGUUUCACAGACUAAAAGGAAGUGAGAACUGACUGGCCAAGGCCAAGAGGAGGCCUUGAAGAAUUAAGGCCAGGAGGUGAGAGUUGGAGCCCCUGGUAGGUCGGUGUGCAAAGCCACCCUCCCCUAGAGUCCAAAGAGAAACUGAACGUCGCGUGUCCUUCCCAGUGAGGAUAACUCUGUCCAGCCUCAGACAGUAGAACCACACUGGUUGCUGUUUGGUUGACAGGUCCGUUUUUUUGUUUUGUUUUGUUUUUUGUCUUUUUAGGGCCGCACUCGCGGCAUAGAGAAGUUCAUAGGUUAGGGGUCGAAUCAGAACUGCAGCUGCCGGCCUACACCACAGCUGCAGCAAUGCUGGAUCCCUAAGCUGCUGAGCGAGGCCAGGGAUCAAACCUGACUAGCGUCCUCACGGAUGCUAGUCAGAUUUGUUUCUGCUGAGCCAUGAUGGGAACUCCCGACAGGUUCGUAUUUAUUUUGUGCUUUAAUUCAUUAGGCUCAGUCAACUGAAAGCCUUUGGCUGUGGAAUUUCUUCUUUAGCAGUUGCAGAAAUCGAGAAGCCUUUGGGGAGUUCUCUUGCAGUGCAACAAGCUAAGGAUCCCAUGUUGUCCCUUAGUGUCGGCUUGGGUUGCUGCUGUGGUGUGGGUUCAAUCCCCGGCCCAGGAACUUCAUGCCUCCGGUGUGGCGGAGGGUGGGGGGUGGAGUGGGCUUUGGAACUUAAAAGAAG